AACGAACGCUGGCGGCAGGCCUAACACAUGCAAGUCGAACGCUCGUAGCAAUACGAGAGUGGCAGACGGGUGAGUAACACGUGGGAACCUUCCCUUUGGUUCGGAAUAGCUCAGGGAAACUUGAGGUAAUACCGGAUAAGCCCUUACGGGGAAAGAUUUAUCGCCAUAGGAUGGGCCCGCGUCGGAUUAGCUAGUUGGUGAGGUAACGGCUCACCAAGGCGACGAUCCGUAGCUGGUCUGAGAGGAUGAUCAGCCACACUGGAAUUGAGAUACGGUCCAGACUCCUACGGGUGGCAG
rnacentral:rRNA from 1 species